GGAAGCAGCUUGCUGCUUCGCUGACGCAGUGGCGGACGGGUGAGUAAUGUCUGGGAAACUGCCUGAUGGAGGGGGAUAACUACUGGAAACGGUAGCUAAUACCGCAUAACGUCGCAAGACCAAAGAGGGGGACCUUCGGGCCUCUUGCCAUCGGAUGUGCCCAGAUGGGAUUAGCUAGUAGGUGGGGUAACGGCUCACCUAGGCGACGAUCCCUAGCUGGUCUGAGAGGAUGACCAGUCACACUGGAACUGAGACACGGUCCAGACUCCUACGGGAGGCAGCAGUGGGGAAUAUUGCACAAUGGGCGCAAGCCUGAUGCAGCCAUGCCGCGUGUAUAAAGAAGGCCUUCGGGUUGUAAAGUACUUUCAGCGGGGAGGAAGNGCGAUAAGGUUAAUAACCUUGUCGAUUGACGUUACCCGCAGAANAAGCACCGGCUAACUCCGUG
rnacentral:rRNA from 1 species